rnacentral:rRNA from 1 species
AGAGUUUGAUCCUGGCUCAGACGAACGCUGGCGGCGUGCUUAACACAUGCAAGUCGCGUGCGCAGUUUCCGUAGCAAUACGGGGAUGGGCGCACGGCGCACGGGUGCGUAACACGUGGGCAAUCUGCCCUCCGAUGGGGAAUACCCCCGCGAAAGCGGGACUAAUUCCGCAUAACAUUCCUUGGAUUAACUUUCGAGGAUUCAAAGCAGCAAUGCGUCGGAGGAGGAGCCCGCGCCCGAUUAGCUAGUUGGUGAGGUAACGGCUCACCAAGGCAAUGAUCGGUAGCUGGUCUGAGAGGAUGGCCAGCCACACUGGAACUGAGACACGGUCCAGACUCCUACGGGAGGCAGCAGUGGGGAAUCUUGCACAAUGGGCGAAAGCCUGAUGCAGCGACGCCGCGUGGGGGAUGAAGCUUUUCGGAGUGUAAACCCCUUUCGACUGGGACGAAUGCCUCGCAAGAGGAGUGACGGUACCAGUAUAAGAAGCCCCGGCUAACUACGUGCCAGCAGCCGCGGUAAGACGUAGGGGGCCAGCGUUGUUCGGAAUUACUGGGUGUAAAGGGUUCGUAGGCGGUGUGGCAAGUCGGGAGUGAAAUCUCUGGGCUCAACCCAGAGACUGCUUCCGAAACUGCUGUGCUUGAGUGUGAGAGAGGCUCGUGGAAUUGCAGGUAGCGGUGAAAUGCGUAGAUAUCUGCAGGAACACCCGUGGCGAAAGCGGCGAGCUGGAUCACUACUGACGCUGAGGAACGAAAGCUAGGGGAGCAAACAGGAUUAGAUACCCUAGUAGUCC